rnacentral:rRNA from 1 species
GUCGAGAAUAAUUCACAAUGGGGGCAACCCUGAUGGUGCAACGCCGCGUGGAGGAUGAAGGUCUUCGGAUUGUAAACUCCUGUCAUCCGGGAGCAAGACCUGGCCGUGAAUAGCGGACAGGGUUGAUAGUACCGGAAGAGGAAGGGACGGCUAACUUCGUGCCAGCAGCCGCGGUAAUACGAAGGUCCCGAGCGUUGUUCGGAAUCACUGGGCGUAAAGGGAGCGUAGGCGGCGCGGUAAGUCAGAUGUGAAAUCCUAGGGCUCAGACCUGGAACUGCAUCCGUUACUGCUGUGCUUGAGCAAUAGAGAGGUAGCCGGAAUUCUCGGUGUAGCAGUGAAAUGCGUAGAUAUCGAGAGGAACACUCGUGGCGAAAGCGGGCUACUGGACAUUUGCUGACGCUGAGGCUCGAAGGCCGGGGGAGCGAAAGGGAUUAGAAACCCCAGUAGUCC